rnacentral:misc_RNA from 1 species
GGGGGACUAAGUAUUAAUAUAUAAUCGACCGUUGGUGUUUCAUCGACGUUAUCCUCGCUA